CGUCCCCGUCGUCCAGUGGCCUAGGACACCGCCCUUUCACGGCGGUAACACGGGUUCGAAUCCCGUCGGGGACGCCAA
rnacentral:tRNA from 1 species